AGCGCCAAUCAUGGAACCGUCACCCAAGGGACGGACGGGUUAAGGAUGAUAAUUAAAGCGGACUUUGAUAGAGAGACACGUGAGAAAUAGAGUGAUAGAGAGAGAUACGUGAAAAUUAAAGCGGUUUUAAUUUCUUUCUUUUCUGUAAUUAAAGAGAUACGCAUGAGAAAUAGAGAGAUAAGAGAGAUACCUGAGAAUUAAAGCUGUUUUAAUUUUUUCCGUUUCUAUGAUUAAAGAUCUGAUCUACACAGUUAUAAUCUUGACCUGCAAAAUCAACGGCCUCCAUUUUCUAUUUUUCUCUAAUUAAUGUGGGAAUUUCUUGGGAGUGCCUAUUAGUAUAGGUAUAUAUAUGUGCAAAAAUCUCGACAUUAAUGAACAUAUAUCUGGUGCACUUGCAAUCUUUUGUAGUACAUUAAUGAAUAUUUAAAGUAUUUUCCAACUCUUGCUAUUUAUAGACUUGUCGUCCGUGUCUGCCACAUUUGGAGUCCAACUAUUUCCUACUGGAACCUUACACUCCACUAGAACUGAGUUUGUCAAGUAACAGAUAACCAAUAUGAGAGGGAGCAGCCUAGUGCAGGCGACGAUGAUAUUCUUCAUUGGAUGCCUUGUGCUUUGUGCACAGUGUGCUCUCGAUAAUAAGCAAAGGAUGGUCAACCAGGAUGAUCAUGCGGCGAACACAAGUACCAACGCUACCAUCAUCAACUCAACAACUGUAGGCGAGAGCAAGAAAACCGAGAAAUUUUGCAGCCUCUUUCUCGUAUGUUAUUUCAACAUUGAGAUUCGUGCUGAGUGCUACUGUUGCGAGAAUAAGAAUGCCGACUGUUACAAGACGAAGAGUGAGUGCCUGCAAAAGUGCCAUUCCUACAACGGUUAAUGCCCACCUUCAUCGCGGUCUUUGGGAUAGAAUUCCAUAUGCUUGGAAAAUUUGCCCGUCGGUAAUAAAAGGCACCUUAUAUGGUUUGGGCAAUUAGGUUCCAAUUAAACAUGAGAAAGCCCGCAUGUUUCCGUGUAGAUCCAACAAGGAAAAAUUUGAUGAAAGAAAUCCAAGUAACUAGUUGUCUUGCAUAUUUACAAAGUUCAAA